rnacentral:rRNA from 1 species
GGUAGCGUGAUUCUUGUUUUCUUAAUUAGAAAUCUGUUCAAAGAAUGAUAUGGAGAGAAUCUAUUGUUUUCAUAUUGAGUGAAUUUAAAAUGUUAGUGAAAAUUCUGACGUGUCCUUAAAAGACGAGAAGACCCCAUAAAACUUAAUUUGAUCUAAUAAUCCUUUGGUUUAAAAUUUAAAUGGGGACUUUAGAGUAUACUAAUAACUUAAAGACCUAUAUUUUUAUUCUUUGAGAAGCUACUUUGGGGAUAACAGGGUAAAAUAUUUGGAGAGUCCUUAUCGAUAAAUAUGACUACUACCUCGAUGUUGGAUUAUC